rnacentral:rRNA from 1 species
GAUGAACGCUAGCUACAGGCUUAACACAUGCAAGUCGAGGGGCAGCACAGUGUAGCAAUACACGGGUGGCGACCGGCGCACGGGUGCGUAACACGUAUCCAAUCUGCCCGUUACUCGGGGAUAGCCUUCUGAAAGGAAGAUUAAUACCCGAUGGCAUUCAUUUGCGGCAUCGCUUAUGAAUUAAAGAUUUAUCGGUAACGGAAGAGGAUGCGUACGAUUAGCUGGUUGGCGGGGUAACGGCCCACCAAGGCUACGAUCGUUAGGGGUUCUGAGAGGAAGGUCCCCCACACUGGAACUGAGACACGGUCCAGACUCCUACGGGAGGCAGCAGUGAGGAAUAUUGGUCAAUGGUCGAGAGACUGAACCAGCCAAGUAGCGUGAAGGAUGACUGCCCUAUGGGUUGUAAACCUCUUUUGUUUGGGAAUAAAGUCAGGUACGUGUACCUGUUUGUAUGUACCAUUCGAAUAAGCAUCGGCUAAUUCCGUGCCAGCCGCCGCAGUAACAC